AUCUCAGUAACGAAAAGGAAGAGUAGUUUUCCAAAAAGUCUGUUGAGCGAGCGGCGGGUGGUGCGAGCGUCGCCGGAUGGGGAAAACGAAUGGGCCUUUUAACAGAAACGAGUGAACCAAAAGUAGCUUGUUUGGGAACUGGCCCUUAUCCAGAAGUGACACGUUUCAAGACGUGUAAUUUAGGUGGUACCACGGAAAAGCCGUCCUAUUG
rnacentral:ncRNA from 1 species